AUUGAACGCUGGCGGCAGGCCUAACACAUGCAAGUCGAGCGGAUGAAGGGAGCUUGCUCCUGGAUUCAGCGGCGGACGGGUGAGUAAUGCCUAGGAAUCUGCCUGGUAGUGGGGGAUAACGUCCGGAAACGGGCGCUAAUACCGCAUACGUCCUGAGGGAGAAAGUGGGGGAUCUUCGGACCUCACGCUAUCAGAUGAGCCUAGGUCGGAUUAGCUAGUUGGUGGGGUAAAGGCCUACCACGGCGACGAUCCGUAACUGGUCUGAGAGGAUGAUCAGUCACACUGGAACUGAGACACGGUCCCGACUCCUACGGGAGGCAGCAGUGGGGAAUAUUGGACAAUGGGCGAAAGCCUGAUCCAGCCAUGCCGCGUGUGUGAAGAAGGUCUUCGGAUUGUAAAGCACUUUAAGUUGGGAGGAAGGGCAGUAAGUUAAUACCUUGCUGUUUUAACGUUGCCAACAGAGUAAGCGCCGGCUAACUUCGUG
rnacentral:rRNA from 1 species